GGAGAUGUACCUACCGACAACAUGUUUCAAGACAGACUGAACCUUCACAUUUAAGUUGAAAUAGCACUGCCCGGACGUGUGAUUACAGAAGUUGUGGAUCCAAUGCUUUUCAGAGAAUACGAGGAAAGAGUAGUGCUCAAUCCUCCUCUCAUAGAAAUAGGAUGAACCAUACUGAGAGUGGCAAAAUCCUGGAAUGUCUGGAUUCAAUUCUGAGGGUGGGAAUUUCUUGCUCUGCCGAGUUGCCACCAGAGAGGAUGGAUAUGAGCAAUGUUGUGUCUGAGUUGCAGCGGAUUAGGGACUCUCUUUCUCGAAGCAUGAUGCGUGGGCAGCAUGAAAUUGUUUCGGUGCGGCCACAAGAUUGGUAAAUGAGAACCUCAUCUGUUCAAGGAGUCAAAAAUUAUCUUAAUAUUCAUGGAAGGAGUGGCGUUGCCGAUGCAUAUGGUUAUCUUCCAGCAUUUUCCAUUUAAGUUUAUAUCCUCUAUACAUAUGUUUGCUCAAAGAGUGCACAAGUGUAUUGGACAUGAGCACUUUUAACAUAUAUUACGGACUUGUGGUAAUAAAUUUUCUUGUAUUGUAAUAAUUUCUUGAUAGAAAUUUAUGAAGUUGUUAUGGUAUUGCACUA